rnacentral:rRNA from 1 species
AAUCUUAAUUUUAUUAUAAGAUAAGGUAAGGGAAAAUAAUGAUAUUCUCUUACUAUUAGUGUCGUCUAAAUUUGGUGCCAGAAGACUCGGUAAGACCUUAGACGCAAACGUUAAUCCUCAUAAUCAGGCGUAAAGGGUGUGUAGGCGGCUUUUAUAAUCCAUAAGGAUCCUAUAAUGAAAGCUAGAAUCUAAAAGAGGGUAAGCUAAACAACAUAAAUAAUUAGGACUGACAACUGAUAAUAAUGUGGAGUACUAAAGGUUAAAGCUUUUAUCUACUUAAGAUUGACGCUCAGAAACGAAGGGGAGAAUAAGAAACUUAGAUUAGAUACCUAAUUAUCUCUCUCAGUCAACGAUGAAUGGUAGUUAUUAAAAAAAUAUUAAAUAUUUAUAUAUAAUAAUAUUAGUGACGAGGUUAACACGAUGACCAUUCCGCCUUGUUAGUAAGACUGCAAAGUUGAAAACAAAAAAAUUAGUCGGUCUUGAAGCAAACGAAGUGAAGCAUGUUAUUUAAUG